ACGUUUGUACUAAUCGGGCGGAAGUUGGUUCUAGGAAACACCUUCGAAAUGCCAUUUCUGACCUUUAUUCCUCUUCCGGAAAUUUCGAGUUGGGAAUCAAGGUUGGGGGUUGGCCUGAGGGGAGGAGUCGACGCCUCUGGGAGGUUCAGGGUCGGCACUGUUAGGUGGUUGAGACUCAAACGUGUGCUAAAGAAGUGGGAAUUGUGGCAUUUACGCAAAAGCUAAGACUCCCAGGGAGAGGAAAAUAAAAAGGUAAACGUCAUUUGUGUGGUUCGUGAUUCAUGUAAGCUCUCCAUUGAAUUGCCGGCACUUAGCGCGUUUUCCGAGGGAGAGGAAGAGCUGAAGCAGACUCCCCACUGAGCACGAAGCCUGGAGCAAUGUGAGGCCAGGAGGGAGGGGCUUGAUCUCAAGACCCUGAGAUAAGACCUGAGCUGAAACCAAGUAGCCCAACUGAGUCAACCAGGGCCAGCCAGGCACCCCAUGAGGUCUUGAAGAAGUAAGAAAACUCACUGUGCUUCCAGAGGAGUUGGAAGGGUCACCAAUUUUAACAUGAAUCUCUACUAUGGGAUGCUGAAGAAACUGACAAACAAGAGACUGGUUUACAAAAAUAAAUGACCCUGGCCCAUUUCCUGAAAAUGGUUUGAUUUCUUUAACUAACCUGGUAUCAACUUGUUUUGUGAGCACCUACAACUCAGGACAAGAUAAAGGAAGAUUCUAGUUAGUAAAGAAUUCCCUAGGAUUUAGUACAGUUACAUCACUUCUAAAGAUUUUUAAUUUUAAAAACCAACAGAAAUAGAAGGAAAAGGAACACAAAGUGAUCUUUUAAAAAAACAAGAAACCUACGUU